rnacentral:rRNA from 1 species
CAAUAGCGUAUAUUAAAGUUGUUGCGGUAAAAAAGCUCGUAGUUGGAUUUCUGUUGAGAGCGACCGGUCCAUACCAUGUAUGCGUAUCUGGCUUGCUCUCGGCAUCCUCUCGAUAGACGUUACUGCGCUUGAUUGCGUGGUGCGGAUCUCGGGACUUUUACUUUGAGGAAAUUAGAGUGUUCACGGCAGGCUUUCGCCAGAAUACAUUAGCAUGGAAUAAUACUAUAGGAUCUUGGUUCUAUUUUGUUGGUUUCUAGAAUUGAGAUAAUGAUUAAUAGGGACAAUUGGGGGCAUUCGUACCAACACGUCAGAGGUGGAAUUCUUGGAUUGUGUUGCGACGAACUACUGCGAAAGCAUUUGCCAAGGAUGUUUUCAUUGA